UACGGGGGGAGCAAGCGUUGUUCGGAUUUACUGGGCGUAAAGGCGCGUAGGCGGCACCGCAAGUCGACUGUGAAAUCUCCGGGCUUAACCCGGAAAGGUCAGCCGAUACUGCGGGGCUAGAGUGCAGAAGGGGCAACUGGAAUUCUCGGUGUAGCGGUGAAAUGCGUAGAUAUCGAGAGGAACACCUGCGGCGAAGGCGGGUUGCUGGGCUGACACUGACGCUGAGGCGCGAAAGCUAGGGGGAGCGAACGGG
rnacentral:rRNA from 1 species